rnacentral:rRNA from 1 species
UCACGUUGAUCCUGCGUGAGGAUGCUGCUAUUUGGUUUCGAAUUAGCCAUGCAAGUCAAGGGAGGCUUUCGAGUCGACCGGCGGAAUGCUUAGUAACACGUCAAUAAUCUGCCCUUAGGUGGGGGAUAGCCUUGAGAAAUUGAGAGUAAUACCCCAUAGGUAAAAAUUUCUGGAAUGAUUUUUUACUCAAAGUUUUUCGCCUAAGGAUGAGUUGGCGGCGGAUUAGAUUGUUGGUGGGGUAAAGGCCCACCAAGUCUAUAAUCUGUACGGGCCUUGAGAGAGGUAGCCCGAAGAAGGGUACUGAGAUACUGACCCUAGCCCUACGGGGUGCAGCAGGCGCGUAACCUUUACAAUGCACGAAAGUGUGAUAAGGGGAACCAAAGUGCUAUAGCUCAGCUAUGGCUUUUGCUAAGUGUAAAAAGCUUGGCGAAUAAGUGGUGGGCAAGACUGGUGCCAGCAGCCGCGGUAACACCAGCGCCACGAGUGGCAUCCGUGUUUAUUGGGCCUAAAGCGUCCGUAGUCGGGUAUGCAAAUUCAUUGUGAAAUCCUUAUGCUUAACGUAAGGGAUUGCAUUGAACACUACAUAUCUUGAGACCGGGAGAAGUGUGGGGUAUUCCUUGGGGAGCGGUAAAAUGCAAUAAUCCUUGGAGGACCACCUGUGGCGAAGGCGUCACACUAGAACGGAUCUGACGAUGAGGGACGAAAGCUGGGGGAGCGAUCCGGAUUAGAUACCCGAGUAGUCCCAGCCGUAAACUCUGCGAGCUAGGUAUUGCAUUUACUCCGAGUAAAUGCAGUAUCGUAGCGAAGGCGUUAAGCUCGCCGCCUGGGUAGUAUGGUCGCAAGGCUGAAACUUAAAGGAAUUGGCGGGGGAGCACUACAAGGGGUGCGGCGUGCAAUUUAAUCUAACUCUACACAGAGAAUCUCACCAGUAGCGACGGCAGGAUGAAGGUCAGAUUGAAGGUUUUACCUGACGAGCCGAGAGGUGGUGCAUGGCCGUCGUCAGCUCGUGCUGUAAAGUGUCCAGUUAAGUCUGUUAACGAGCGAGACCUGUAUCUACAAUUACUAGCAUUUCACAUGUUGAAGAAUGAGUACUUUGUAGAGACUGCCUUAGAAAUAAGGAGGAAGGUGCAGGCAACGAUAGGUCUGUAUGCCCCGAAUCUACUGGGCUAUAUGCGCGCAACAAUGGUCGGCACAAUGGGCUGCUACACCGAAAGGUGAUGCUAAUCCUCGAAAUCCGAUCCUAGUACAGAUUGAGGAUUGUAACUCAUCCUCAUGACGCUGGAAUCCCUAGUAAACGGAAGUCAUCAGCUUUCGUUGAAUAUGUCCCUGCUCCUUGCACACACCGCCCGUCAAAUCAACCGAGCAGGGUUUAGUUGAGGUCUGGAUUAUUGUUUAGAUCGAAACUAAAUUCAGCAAGGUGGGUUAAGUCGUCACAAGGUA